GGUACGCGAGCUGGGUUUAGAACGUCGUGAGACAGUUCGGUCCCUAUCUGCCGUGGGCGCUGGAGAACUGAGGGGGGCUGCUCCUAGUACGAGAGGACCGGAGUGGACGCAUCACUGGUGUUCGGGUUGUCAUGCCAAUGGCACUGCCCGGUAGCUAAAUGCGGAAGAGAUAAGUGCUGAAAGCAUCUAAGCACGAAACUUGCCCCGAGAUGAGUUCUCCCUGAGACUUUAGGUCUCCUGAAGGAACGUUGAAGACGACGACGUUGAUAGGUCGGGUGUGUAAGCGCAGCGAUGCGUUGAGCUAACCGGUACUAAUGAACCGUGAGGCUUAACCUUAC
rnacentral:rRNA from 1 species